rnacentral:rRNA from 1 species
GACGAACGCUGGCGGCGUGCUUAACACAUGCAAGUCGAGCGGUAAGGCCCUUUCGGGGGUACACGAGCGGCGAACGGGUGAGUAACACGUGGGUGACCUGCCCUCAGCUCUGGGAUAAGCCUGGGAAACCGGGUCUAAUACCGGAUAUGACUCCAUGACGCAUGUUGUGGGGUGGAAAGCCUUGUGCGGCUGAGGAUGGGCCCGCGGCCUAUCAGCUUGUUGGUGGGGUGAUGGCCUACCAAGGCGACGACGGGUAGCCGGCCUGAGAGGGCGACCGGCCACACUGGGACUGAGACACGGCCCAGACUCCUACGGGAGGCAGCAGUGGGGAAUUUUGGACAAUGGGCGCAAGCCUGAUCCAGCCAUGCCGCGUGCGGGAAGAAGGCCUUCUGGGUUGUAAACUGCUUUUGAUCGGGAACAAAGAGGCCAUGCGUGCAAGUUGAGUGUACCGAUAGAAUAAGCACCGGCUAACUCCGUGCCAGCCGCCGCA